AACAAUCGUACAGUCGAUUAAAAUUUAACACUUUUAAUCAACUUACAACUGUUGUAUAAGACGUUUUUGUUUUCUACUAACUGCCACUAAAACACAACGUGUGCUAAAAAUUCUUGUAAAAUAUUUUAAAAGAAAGUUCUAGUUUAAUUAGAUUUAUCGGUAUGUAAUUAAAAAUGCGUAGUAACAGAAGGCGUGGCUCAAAAAGGAGGCGCGGACGACGCCGACGAAAAUCUACAAAAUCUGGAACCACGACCAUUACGACGAAAAUGACAGGUCCAACAUACACUACUCAAGUUAUUCCACCGGACUUCCAUUAUAAAUUUAAAUCAGGCGAAUUAAGUUC